AGCCAUGGACUGAAUCAAGAUGCCUCUAAAUAAUCCACACAGUGCCCAGAAGUGCCCCGAAGUUUUACAAUAACCAGGUGUUUGAUGUUUUACACGCGUGCGCGCGCGCACACACACACACUUACAGGCAUGCAUGCAAACACACACACACAGAGACAGACACACACACACACACACACACACACACACAAAAUCCCUGGAUGGAUUUGACCAACCUUUACUUUUCAUGAAACGAUUUGGUAUCACGAAGAUCCCAAAUGGUUAAACUAGCUUUUUGCUAAUUAUCACCAACAAUCACAUCCUUUGUUCCAUUCUUACUAUUGUCUCUGAGUUUUUAUUUAGUAACUUUAUUGCUAACUUAGAAUUUCCAGAUUUUUCUGAAAUAUGGCAUGCCAAUAGAAAAUAUUUCAGUAGAUCGUAAUUGUUUCAAACUUCUUUGGCCUUAGUGCUACCUACCAGGCAACUUGCAAAUUACUUUUCUUGGUCAUCCCUUCAAUUUACCUUUUGCAAUAAGCCAACUCCAUUCUCAAGUAUGGAUAAUAGUGGGAUCAAAGCUGCGUAUCCAACAACUGCUUCUUUCGCCUGGGAAUUACAACGAGCCUGCCUUUAUCUUCUUCCUUCUUGCCACCUGCUUUUUUUCUGAAAGUGAGCACAAGAAGGAGCAAGGAACGAACUUGACUGACUGUGUUUCACAACUACUUCGUGGGUACCAUUCAACAUGAAUCCAUUCAGAAGGUAGAAAUGCGCUGAAACCUCCUUAACUCGGAGUGCUUUGAUUAAUAAUCUGGAAUAAACUAGACAAGGACCAGUCUACAAAGUAAAUUGAUAUGACUAUGGAUGUGGACAAGAGAGGUUUGUUAAGCAAAUGCAAAGUUUAGACUAGCAUGUCAGUUGAAUAUUUUCUUGAGAGAACAAAUCUUUUUGUUUCAAAGGUUGGAAGUACUCAUCACAUAUAAUCAUAUUCAUUAUAAAUCUACCCACUAACAUAGUUCUCAUGGGGACCUCUGAUAAAGCAAUGUUUUAUAGCCAGUCUGAAUUGCAAAAUAGAACUAAAAGGAGAAAAUGUCAUGCUUCAGGCAUAUUUUUGUAGCUCAGGAUUUGCUUCCCUCAUUCUGACAAUUCUUCGUCUGUGCUAGUUCAGAUCAAGGAAGUUUUAUCCCAUUAGUAAAACGGCUUGAGAAUUACACUUCCUUAUUGACUCUCGUCCCCAGUUAACAUGACAAAAGGACCACUGAAUGGACCAUCAUAGCAUGGGGAAAGUGAGAUCCACAGGUGGUGCUGACUUUGAGAAGGUCACACAGCCAAUGCCAUCACACAUCUCUUCUGACUUUCAGAUUCACCUCUUCUGAUCAUAUUGCAGAAAGCAAGUUAUUGCAGCUACCCACCCAUGAAUGGUGUGAAUCUGACUGCAUGAGCUACGUUUCUAUAAGAAUCAGGUUUAUUCUCAAACACCUUGGUUACUAGGCAAAUGGCAUAUUUAAUAUUUAAGCCAUUCUAGCCUCGGUACUGAUUACUAAAAAUGACAAUAAUCACAAAACCUGACAUUUAUAAGUGCCUCCACUACUUCAAAAACAGUUUUACACCUAUUAUCUCUGAAACCAGGAAAGGGGAAAAAAUACUUGUAUUACUUAUCCCUCUGUCUUGUUCCUAUAACCUUUAAAUUAUGAUAAGUGGGCAAUUAUGUUAAAUUGUUGACUUUUCCCUCUCUAACAUGAGACAGCAUGCAUUCUGAGCAUAUUCUACAAAUUUUACUAUGCUAUGGAAAGAACAGGAACUUUUCAUGUUGUCAAAAAUGAGUACACUCUUAAAGUAAUGUAAUAGAUAUGCUAUUUUCUUUUCUGAAUACAGGGAAUUUAGAAAGGGGUUACUAACUGGAGUAGCUACUGAAUAAGACCCAUAGGCUAGAACCAAAACACUGUUUGCCUGUACCAAUUUCUCAAGUCUAAGCUAAUAAGUCUUGGCCAAAUUAUACCCGGUCUGCCCUUGAUGAUCUAUAAAUGUACAGAGGUAACUCAUGGAAACAAAGGCUGUGGUUUGAGAAUUUUCAACCAACAAAUCACCCUAUUGUGUUGCUGCUUUAUUGUAAUACAUGUGAAAAAGCAGUAAUUAGGAGGCUUCUAGGUUGUUCCAGCUAUAAACCUAGAUCACUAGAGGUUUGAGAGACAGCUGAUGAAAGUCUGUCACAGUAAAACAGCAGAUAGUGAUUUUUGCAGAGUUCCCAUAUAAGGGCAUUAAGCUUCUCCCACAGCUAUUAGUCCUCUCACAGUUUUACAUUCUAGUCCUUCCUAACUUCAUUCCCUUAAUCGUAAGUAAAUGAUGCCAGCUCAGUUUUUUCUAUAUACCUUUACUUAGUAGAGCAAAGAAUGUCAGGAAAAACAAACUAUUGUGUACCUGGAGUGAUAAGAUAAUUCGAAACUUAUCCCAUCCCAGCCUAGAUGUGUAUCAGUGGAUUUAAAUAGACUUCUAGUAUCUAUACUUUU
rnacentral:lncRNA from 1 species